rnacentral:rRNA from 1 species
GAGGGGGGUGCAAACGUUAUUCGGAAUCACUGGGCGUAAAGGGCGUGUAGACGGGCAAAUUAAGUCGACUGUUAAAUUCUUCGGGCCUAACCGGAGACCUGCGGUCGAAACUGAUGUGCUAGAGGGUGGAAGAGAGAAGUGGAAUUCUCGGAGUAGCGGUAAAAUGCGUAGAUCUCGAGAGGAACACCAAUGGCGAAGGCAGCUUCUUGGUCCACUCCUGACGUUGAGACACGAAAGCGUGGGGAGCAAACAGGAUUGGAUACCCUGGUAGUCCACGCUGUAAACGAUGAUCACUGGACGUUGGUUCUUUUUAUAGAAUCAGUGUCGUAGCUAACGCGUUAAGUGAUCCGCCUGGGGAGUACGGUCGCAAGACUA